CCGCGUUGGACCGCACACAAGUCUGUUGGAAUACAGCGGCAUAGUGGUGAGACCCCCGUAUAUGGUGCGGACGCCCAGCGCUUUGUGAUACAUUUUCGAAGAGUCGAGUUGUUUGGGAAUGCAGCUCAAAUUGGGUGGUAAAUUCCAUCUAAAGCUAAAUAUUGGCGAGAGACCGAUAGCGAACAAGUACCGUGAGGGAAAGAUGAAAAGCACUUUGGAAAGAGAGUUAACAGUACGUGAAAUUGUUGGAAGGGAAACGCUUGAAGUCAGACUUGCUUGCCGAGCAAUCGGUUUGCAGGCCAGCAUCAGUUUUCCGGGAUGGAUAAUGGUAGAGAGAAGGUAGCAGUUUCGGCUGUGUUAUAGCUCUCUGCUGGAUACAUCUUGGGGGACUGAGGAACGCAGUGUGCCUUUGGCGGGGGUUUCGACCUCUUCACACUUAGGAUGCUGGUGGAAUGGCUUUAAACGAC
rnacentral:rRNA from 1 species